ensembl:misc_RNA Metazoa_SRP Metazoan signal recognition particle RNA
GCUGGGCAUGGUGGCGCAUGCCUGUAGUUCCAGCUACUUGGAAGGCUGAGGUGGGAGGAUCACUUGAGCCUAGGUGGUUGAGGCUGUGGUGAGCUGUGAUCAUGCUGCUGCACUCCAGCCUGGGCAACAGAGUGAGACCCUGUCUCAA